rnacentral:tRNA from 1 species
GCCGCCGUGGCGAAAUCGGCAGACGCGAUAGACUCAAAAUCUAUUGUCAGUGAUGACGUGCCGGUUCAAGUCCGGCCGGCGGCA